CCAAGGAGUGCAACACGCCCGCGAGUCUUUGGGUGGCAAACCCGCCGGCGAAAUGAAAGUGAAGGCGCCCUCGCGAGGGGCGAGAGCCGCGAAAGCGGUGCACCGUCGACCGAUCCUAUCCACGCCGUGGGGGGAUUCGAGUUAGAGCGUGCCUGUUGCGACCCGAAAGAUGGUGAACUAUGCCUGAAUAGGGUGAAGCCAGAGGAAACUCUGGUGGAAGCUCGUAGCGAUUCUGACGUGCAAAUCGAUCGUCAAAUUUGGGUAUAGGGGCGAAAGACUAAUCGAACCAUCUAG
rnacentral:rRNA from 1 species